rnacentral:tRNA from 1 species
GUGGUUAUAGCUCAGCUGGUAGAGCAUCUGACUGUGGAUCAGAAUGCCGUGGGUUCAAAUCCCACUAGCCACCCCA